rnacentral:pre_miRNA from 1 species
UGCCAAAGUUUUCCUUGGUAAUUAACUGCAGCCGGUUCCGUAAUUCGGCAGUUAACUGCCGAAGGUAUU